GUUUGGAGACAUCUGAUAAAAUUAGAACGAUACAGAGAAGAUUAGCAUGGCCCCUGGGCAAGAAUGACAUGCACAAAUCGAGAAAUAAAAUCAAAGCCU